AUUCAAAUAGCUUAUAAAAAGAGUAUAAUAUUGAAGAUAUUAGGGAGAUUAAUAUUAAUCUUUGAAUA
rnacentral:tRNA from 1 species